AUCCAGAUGACGAGUCCCAAAUAGGACGAAAUGCACAUUUUGGAU
rfam:Trichobilharzia regenti genome assembly, scaffold: TRE_scaffold0084474